GAUGAAGAACGUAGCAAAAUGCGAUAAGUAAUGUGAAUUGCAGAAUUCAGUGAAUCAUCGAAUCUUUGAACGCACAUUGCGCCUGCCAGCACUCUGGCAGGCAUGCCUGUUCGAGCGUCAUUUCAACCAUCAAGCCCUAGGCUUGCGUUGGAGCCCUGCGGCUGCCGCAGGCCCCUAAAAGCAGUGGCGGGCUCGCUAUCACACCGAGUGCAGUAGAUUACUCUUCGCUCAGGGCGUGUGGCGGGUUCCAGCCGUGAAACCCCCUACUUCUCAAGGUUGACCUCGGAUCAGGUAGGAAUACCCGCUGAACUUAAGCAUAUCAAUAAGCGGAGGA
rnacentral:misc_RNA from 1 species